CUACGGGCCGCUGCAGUGAGGAAUAUUGGACAAUGGUCGAAAGACUGAUCCAGCCAUGCCGCGUGCAGGAUGACUGCCCUAUGGGUUGUAAACUGCUUUUAUACGGGAAGAAAAACACCUACGUGUAGGUGACUGACGGUACCGUAAGAAUAAGGACCGGCUAACUCCGUGCCAGCAGCCGCGGUAAUACGGAGGGUCCAAGCGUUAUCCGGAAUCAUUGGGUUUAAAGGGUCCGUAGGCGGGCUAUUAAGUCAGAGGUGAAAGUUUGCAGCUCAACUGUAAAAUUGCCUUUGAUACUGAUAGUCUUGAAUUGUAUUGAAGUGGUUAGAAUAUGUGGUGUAGCGGUGAAAUGCAUAGAUAUCACAUAGAAUACCGAUUGCGAAGGCAGAUCACUAACUAUAUAUUGACGCUGAGGGACGAAAGCGUGGGGAGCGAACGGGAUUAGAUACCCCAGUAGUC
rnacentral:rRNA from 1 species